UAUGACGAUGGACAUUGCAAAGAGUGGCGAACGGGUGAGUAACACGUGGGAAACCUACCUCUUAGCAGGGGAUAACAUUUGGAAACAGAUGCUAAUACCGUAUAACAACUUGGACCGCAUGGUCCGAGUUUGAAAGAUGGCUUCGGCUAUCACUUUUAGAUGGUCCCGCGGCGUAUUAGCUAGAUGGUGGGGUAACGGCUCACCAUGGCAAUGAUACGUAGCCCGACCCUGAGAGGGUAAUCGGCCACAUUGGGACUGAGACACGGCCCAAACUCC
rnacentral:rRNA from 1 species